UUGACGUCUGACAAGAGAAGAUCAUAUUUGUCUGGACAUGUAAAAAGACAACAGAAGAGAGGAGGCAAGAAGAUAAAGCAGGUCCAUCAGCCUCCACCUCUACCUCCAUCAUUGGUUUCAUCCAAGAAGCUGACAGUGCUGGUCUACCUCGGCCUACUGAAGUGGAGAGCAGUACCAUCGUGCUUACUACCACACCUGACUCUCUAAUUUCUACUCCUCCAGAGGAUCCAGCUGACUGGCCAUCAGUCCUUAAUGACCAGUUACUUACCAGGACUUUUCCAAAAAGACACUCAGACAGUAAAAGUAUUUUCUGGUUGAGAAAAGUGAUGCUAUCAACUGUUAUGUAGUUUUUGUCUCUUAAUCGAUUGUCUGGUUGUCAAUAACGAUUUAAGCUUUGGUCAUAAUCACUUUAUCAGUCAUUUUAUCCAGAACUAAGUUCAUCAGUGUCUAUUGGGUGUUGCACUGCCAUUAAGCUCAGUAGCACUGGUGGUAUCGUAUGUUUCCAGUUUGACAUCAAACAUUGUAGAUAUAAUAAUAUAGAGUAUAAUCUAGUUAUUGUUUUUCAUCAGAAUCAGCUUUAUUGUCAAACAGGUUUAAGAAAUUUGCUUUUGUGUUUUUGUGCUAAACAAACAUGGCAGGUUUAAGAAUAUAAGAAAGAUUCUUCAGGUCUUAUUUAAAAACAAGAGACGUUUCUGUGUAGUGACAACGCCCGACAGUCAGAGGGGCCUCCAACUAAAUUUUAUUAGGGUCCCUGAAGGUCUAGGGCCGGCUCUGCGUGGUGGUGUUACAAAUCACUACGCUGUUGUGAUGAUAAAUGUCUUGCAUGGAUUCCAAUGUUACAUAUCUAGCGAAUAGGAGCCCAGAGUGGAAAUGACAGAAACUCCAUUCACCCUAUUACAAGUCAGUGUAGCAAUAAAAUUAUUUAGCUGUUAUUUUAAGAUAAAAAUACAUAAUGUUACUCAAAUAUUUUGUGGAAUUUAGGUACCAUGCACUGAAGAAAACAAUGGCAUUUUAUAAUUCUGUGAUAUUUUCAUGAAUUUAAACACAGUAUUAGUAAUAAAGUCAGUACUGGUAUUACUCACCUUAA